rnacentral:lncRNA from 1 species
CUUGAUCUCUUGACCUCAUGAUCCGCACACCUCAGCCUCCCGAAGGGCUGGGAUUACAGGCAUGAGCCACCGCGCCCAGCCAAAUGUUUAGAAACUUUUAUGCCAAUUUGACACAGAAAGCUUUUGUCUGCUGAAGAUAAUUUAAAAAAAAAAAGGGCUUUAAAUGAAAUUAUUUCUACCAAAAUAUACAUUUUAGACACUCCUGGUCUCUUUUCUUUGGCACAUCAAUAAGAUAACUGAACAAAGACAUCUCUAUCUGAAUAGAAAAUGAUUCAUUGUAAGCAUCAAAGAAUCAGAACUGGAAGAAAUGUAGCCGACCAUCUAACUUGCCCGCAGUCAGGGAGACUUCUCUGCCUGAACUUCCUGGACCUUCUCCCUCUUAGAUUUCUCAAGAUGGAAACUCCAAAGUCAUUCCUGUAGCCAUUCCUGCGUUUAAUUGCCCAAGAGGUAAAAUAAAUUUCCCGUAUAUCCAAAGGGAAUCUAUCUUAUUUAAACUGAAUUGGGGUUGACCUUUAAUCCUCCAGAUGUAUCUUAUUACUGUACCUCAGCCAGGCACAGCGGCUCACACCUGUAAUCCCAGAAUUUUGGGAGGCCAAGGCAGGAAGAUCAACAUGAACCCAGGACCAGCCGGGGGAAACAUAGCAAAACCCUGUCUCUACAGAAACUACAAAAAUUGGCCAAGCACGGUGGCUCACGCCUGUAAUCCCGACACUUUGGGAGGCCAAGGCAGGUGGAUCACGAGACACGGGGGCACAUGCUGGUGCCCAAGCUGCAUCUGUGGCUGUUGA